GACGAACGCUGGCGGCGUGCUUAACACAUGCAAGUCGAACGAAGUGGCGAACGGGUGAGUAACGCGUAAUCAACCUGCCCUUCAGAGGGGGACAACAGUUGGAAACGACUGCUAAUACCGCAUACUGAAGGAGGGGAUUGCGUCUGAUUAGCUAGUUGGAGUGGUAACGGCCCACCAAGGUGAUGCUCAGUAGCAGGUCUGGGAGGUAGAACGGCCCCAUUGGGAAUGAGACAAGGCCCAGACUCCUACGGGAGGCAGCAUGGGGGAAUCUUCCGCAAUGGACGGAAGUCUGACGGAGCAACGCCGCGUGAGUGAUGACGGCCUUCGGGUUGUAAAGCUCUGUUAAUCGGGACGCGGUACCGGAAUAGAAAGCCACGGCUAACUACGUGCCAGCAGCCGCGGUAAUAC
rnacentral:rRNA from 1 species